GAAGGCAGGCACUAAACCAUUGAGCCACCCGGGGAUCCCCUAUUUGGCUCAUUUCUACCCAGCCCUGUGAUUUCAGCAGAGAUGUCUUUUCCUCUACACAGCUUUCCAGGGCCUCACAGGUCUACAAGGAGUCACUGUGGUCCUCAGCACCCUGACCUUCUGUCAUCACAGGCCUUUAUGAGGGAAUUGCCUGCUGACUUGCUUUGUCCCCUUUCUCAAUAUUGUAAGCACCCUGAAGACAGCAACCACAUUUGCUUAAUUCACACUUGCAUCCCUGGGGCUUAGACUGGGGGCACACAUUUAAUGAGCAUUCUAUACCUAUCUGCAGCAUAGGAGCAGCAGCAUGUGAGCCAGCACGUCACACAGGCACUGUGUGCAGCGACAUGGACUCGAAUGCCCAGCUGGAUCUCAGAGUCCUUGUUGUAAGAUUAGGAUGAGCUGUCUCUCAGGGUUGGGUUGAUGUGGGAAGUACAUGCAUACAAAUGUCCUUCGUAACUGGAUCAGGACCACUGCCUGGCAGGGCAGGGAUGAACUGUGAUGAACUGUGAGGUGGGCAACCACAGAUGGGUGUCAUUUGCUGAUCCUUUCAGCAAACCAGAAGGUCAGAGGAGGGAUCCUUGCAAGUCCAUGGUCAAGGACAUACCCAGGACAGUUGCUGAGUUCCUCAACUUCAAGGGGAAUGAAAAGGAUGGAGGUUAAGACAUGCAGCACAACCUCCCCCAGGCUGGGGGCUAGGGUUGAGAGAUACUGGAAAUUGCCUGAGAGGACAGCGAAUGGUCCAGGACAGGCCAGCCCCCACAGAUGGUCCGUGUGGUGCUCCAGUCACCAGGGAGGGCAGCAAGUGCAUGGAGGGGAUCAGGGUUACCGUAGACCAUUUCCUGAGUGUGAAAUCAGGCCUCUAACUCACCACUUGAAUACUGUGCAAACCUCUAUAGUUAAUCUGCCACCAGCUUCAUCAACUUCAAACUACAAUCCAAUCAAAUUCUUCUGAUACUGUGUUUCAAAGAACAGUGGACCUGUUGCCCUGUGGCAUCAUCACCAGGGUGAUCAUCCAGAGGCAUCAACUACUCACUUAACCCUGUUUGGAUCCAGCACAGUUGCUAUGGAUUCAGAUCAUCACAAAACAAUUUUAGAAUGAUUCUGUUGCUGCAAGUGAAGGUAAUGCUUCUUUUCUGGCACUUCCUCAGUGCCAGGAUUUCUUCCCUGAGACCAAUUUUACAAUAAGCUAAGAAACAAAUCCUGGAAAGAGCUCCAGUUUGGGGUUCAGAAGACCUGAGUCAAAGUCUCCUCUUUAUGAAGUAUGUGACCUUGAGCAAGUCAUUCAACCUCCUCUGGCUCCUCUUUGUGUACAAAAUGGGUGGCUGUCACAGCUGACCAAGCUCCCGGCUUGACGUGAUCUUAUAUUCUGGGCUGUGAUUGUGACUCUCGUUUAAGGGGGAAGGAGGAACUCCAUAAGCAGCUUUGAGGAGUGCUAGAAGUAAGAGCCUGACCAGGGUAACUCUGGCAAGGGCAGGACAACAAGUGACUUCUCAGGCCAUGGAUGUCAGGGAGGGGACCACUGUGGAAUUACAAGAAAUAGCAGUUCUUGAACAAAGCCUUUAUCCAGGACUCAGAAGGAAAACUCGAGCACUGCGGCUGUAAUAUCCAGGAUAUUAGCCCUAAGAGAAAAAGGAAAUGGAAAAAAAGCCUACCAGCAUUGCAAGAUCAAUAAAUGAAAUGAGACAGGCUCUGACGGAAGACAAGGGUCUGCUCUACAGCAGAUGCUUGAUAAUUAUUUAAUUAGGUCCGCAAUUAUUUAUUGAGCAGCUGGUACCUAGUGUAAGACAAGAAGUCGAGGAGGCUUACUAUGAUGAAUACGUUCAUCCCCACAUGCAGUGAAAAUGGAAGGCGCGAUGUGAUAAAGGAUCAUAAAAGCAAUGCAAACAGAAGUGCUGUGGGAAUGCAUGGCUGGUGGCGAUCUGUCUGCGAGGAUGAAGGAGCCCCAGAUGUGUGCGAAGCUGGCAGUAUAACUGGAGUAAACCAAUUACUGAGAGCCACCUGGACCGUGAACGUUGGUGGGCUUGCUCCAUGCAUUAGGCGACAUCCCCUCUCCUUCAGACUGGGCCUUUCUAUGUAAAGGAUAGAAAAUGAGCAAUAUUAGCAGCUGAGCAAAAACCUCCAACAGGAAAAGUGAAGAACAAAAAGGGAUGAUGACCAUGACCAGGGCAAUAGUAUUUCAAUGCCUUCAAGUGGCCACACUGUUACAGGAUGGAGCAUUGCCCUCACUGACUGGCUUCAUCAAACCAAGAAAAAAGCUGCCAGGGAGAGCCACCUGAGGAGGGGACGGAAGGAUAAAGGUCUUACAAAUGAGCAAACCAAACCUUACAAAACUACUUACAAGAAACCUAGAGGCACUACGGCUUUAUAUUGUUAUCAGUCUUUUCCAAAGGAAAAAUUAAGGUCUUCUUUAGAGCAGGCACAGACUCCAGGGAACGACCCAGAAAGCAGAAGGCGGAAAAUACAUUCAGAAAUGAACUACUGGUGGUGUAUGUGACCCGUGACAUUUUUGUUCUUUUUAUCCUCUGGCCACAUUUCACUCUUGGAUAUAUGUAACUGUUCUUACUAAAUUAAAUGGAAGUUAAAUGUGCAUGCUCAAAGGACAAAUUUGGCCUGAAGUAUCUCUCCAAAGAUAUUAAUAAAACAGGAGAAGUGAACGUGAUUGUUGGGCCAUCAGAGUUCUUGUUUCAGAUGAGAAAUGCCAGGACAGAGAGGAAGCAUUGUGCUAUGUUCUCCUCUGGAGAGGCUCCAUCUCUGCAUUCCCUAAUGUCAGUGGGUUCUAACACUUAAAUGUGUCCACAGAAGCAUCGUGGAUUCCAAGUAAACCUUCUGAUCCCCUGCAGCAGCAGGCUUCUAGACAAUGUGAAAGCAGAAAGCCUUGUGAGGUUGUACAACGAGGGAAAAUAGAAGCUUUUAUUCUAAAGGAGGAGAAGUGAGUCAUCAUACCUUUCUUGAUGAGAGAAGUAGGGAUGUUACAUAAGAAAAAGUAUAGGUUUGAGAAUCUAAACAAGUAGUUUUUGAGUCUGGUGUCUGUUACUGAUAACCUGCUUGACUUUGUGCAUGCAGCAAGUGACUUUGCUGUGCUAAGCUUUGUCAUCUCUAACAUAAAACGGUUGCUUGAGAGGAUAAAUAAUAUAUCUUUAGUUCUAAUAUUCUGAGACUUUAUGAGAUCUAAAAUUACCUAUAAAAGUGUUCUACUUUUUCUAGUAAUUAAAGGAAAUGAUACAAGUUAUAAAGGGAGGAAAAAAGAAGUUAAAACAAUAUCUGAGAAGAUUCUGACAAUACUCAGGAAAAAAAACAUACUGAAUAAUAGAAAUAAUAAUAACGUGAGUAAUAAUAAUAAUAAUAUUUUAUUUAGCAAAUACCUGGCUGUAUGCCAGGCACUUUGCAUUUACCAUCCCUAGCCCUCACUAUAUUCUAUACCUUAGGUGUGGUGGAUUGUAUUUUCCCAAAGAUGGACACAAUGCUAUCUUCCAUCCCACGUGGAAUUUUGUCCCUAUGUCAUCAAAAGGUAGAGUCUAAGUUCUUUGUCUUUGAAUCCGGAUACUUGUGACUCAUUUAUAACAAACAGGAUGAGCAGAAGUAAUUCUGGAUGGCUCCUGGGUCUAGAUCAUACAAAGCAAUGCAGCUUCUGGCUUGUUAGAUGGAAUUCUCACUCUAGAAGACUCUAGCUGCUAAACAAGCAAUCUGGAUGCUUAUAUGCUGGGGGCUGUCAUGUUAGGAGAAAGCCCAUGCAGAGACCACAAUGGAGAGGUCCUGAGACAAUGGGAAGAGGGGCCCAGACAGCUCUCAACUUCUUCAGCAUCUUUUUCCGCCACUGUUCUAGCUCUAGCUACCAUCUGACCACAACCAUGUGAGAAGCCCUAAACCAGAACGACUCAGUCAAGCCCUAACCAAAGUCCUGAACCAGAGAAAUUAAGGGAUAAUAAAAUGAUUGUUGCCUUAAGUCACUAAGCUUGGAGUGGCAGCAAAUAGCUAACUAGUAGAUUUUGGUAACGUUGCUACCUGAAAUUAGGGCAUUGCUGUAAACAAAAGCCUGUAACAUGUGGCAUUGGCUUUGGGUCUAGACAGCAGUAGGAAGCCAGAAAGGACUUGAAGAGUCUGUUAGUGAAAGUCUACGGAGUUUUUUGUUUUGUUUUAAUAUUUUAUUUAUUUAUUCAUGAGAAACAGAGAGAGAGGCAGAGACACAGGCAGAAGCAGGCUCCAUGUAGGGAGCCUGAUGUGGGACUGGACCCUGGGUCUCCAGGAUCCCGCCCAGGCUGAAGGCGGUGCUAAACCACUGAGCUACCCAGGCUGCCCACCUAUGGAGUUUUUAAGAGAGUGUUAGCAGAAGCCUUGAGGAAGCUAUUGAUGAGGGCUUCCCAGGUAUUGAGAGAGGUAUUAUUUGAGCUGGAGAAAUAUAGACUCAUGUAGUGGGGGAAGUUUUGCAAAAUUGUCACCAGCAAUAAUGUGGUAAGUAGUUGUACCUAAUGAAUUCAAUGACUUAGCUAGGGAGAGUUCUAGGAAGAGUGAUAAGGGUGCUUCCUGAUUUCUUUAAGCUGCCCAUAAUAUAUAUAUACAUAUUUAAAGAUUUUUAUUUAUUCAUGAGACAGAGCG